ACGGCCGGAUCACGUGAGGUCUCCGUGGCGACCCAACCCCGACGGAAGGUGACGGCGCCGCUUGCUGGACCGAGGGAGUUCCUGCGAUCAGAGCUCAAGAUGCAGGGUGAAGAUUUCGCCUGAGAUCUCUCCAGGAACUCUUAAAGAGACCUCAAUUACAGAUGAAUGGAUAAAGAAGAUGUGGCACAUAUAUACAAUGGAAUAUUACUCAGCCAUAAAAAGGAACGAAACUGAGUUAUUUGUAGUGAGGUGGAUGCACCUAGAGACUGUCAUACAGAAUGAGGAUUAUGAAUCAUCCUUGGGACCUGUGUUUCAUUCUCAACCGAGGAGAUGGAGAGAAUCCUUGCUGCCCCUUCUGAGGGAGACUCUUUCAGCGUCACCUGGAACCGUGACCAUUUUAAAGGCCCAAGUCAGAGCCCUAGCUGGAUUUUCCAACCUCUCCCAUUGAACUGCAGCACAACAGGUCAGUCACUUGAUUGGUCGGUCCUUCCCUGUGUGUGAGAUCUGAUCAGAAAUACUUGAUCGGGAAUGGUCAGACUAGAGCUGGGCUGAGUUUCUUAAAGCAGAUCCCAGUAUCUCCACUAUCAGGAUUUGAGGAUUCCUGAAAUUAAAUUCCAUGUACACUGUUAUGAGAAUGUAUGAGGUGGAGGAUAUUUUAUUUGCUGUUAUGUAAAUUUUCAG